AGGGGGAAUGGUCGGGAUAGCUCAGUUGGUAGAGCAGAGG
rnacentral:tRNA from 3 species